rnacentral:rRNA from 1 species
AUUGAACGCUGGCGGCAGGCUUAACACAUGCAAGUCGAGCGGAGUGAUGGUGCUUGCACUAUCACUUAGCGGCGGACGGGUGAGUAAUGCUUAGGAAUCUGCCUAUUAGUGGGGGACAACAUCUCGAAAGGGAUGCUAAUACCGCAUACGUCCUACGGGAGAAAGCAGGGGAUCACUUGUGACCUUGCGCUAAUAGAUGAGCCUAAGUCGGAUUAGCUAGUUGGUGGGGUAAAGGCCUACCAAGGCGACGAUCUGUAGCGGGUCUGAGAGGAUGAUCCACCACAUUGGGAGUGAGACACGGCCGAGACUCCUACGGGCGGCAGCAGUGGCGAAUAUUGGACAAUGGGGGGAGCCCUGAUCCAGCCAUGCCGCGUGUGUGAAGAAGGCCUUAUGGUUGUAAAGCACUUUAAGCGAGGAGGAGGCUCUUUUGGUUAAUACCCAAGAUGAGUGGACGUUACUCGCAGAAUAAGCACCGGCUAACUCUGUGCCAGCCGCCGCCGUAA